AAGUCUCAACUCUAAUCAGAGGGAUCAGGUUGAAAGGUAUUUGGUGUUUCUGUUUCAGUACGAUGUAGUUGGUUUUGGUACAUAAACAAUAUGUUAAACCUUAACGGAUAAAGCUGUAAAGUGACAUAUGUUCUCUGUGAAAUGCUUGCGUAUUUUAACUCUUAAAUGUGUAACCAUUUCCAAAACUAGUUCAACACCAAGUACCAAAUCAGUAUGUACACCAACAAAUCCAAAAUGGCACUUUAUGUUGUGAAUUGCCUGAACUCAAGACAGUCAUCUCUGUUUGAGGCAAACUUUUCGUUUUAACAAAUUAAAGAAAGAAAUGAAGUUGAACUUUUUUUUAAAUAAUUUCUAGCUACGUAUUUCUAAUCAGUGAUUUAUAAGUGUUUACCAGGUUCCAAGAGCUCCAGUGACCUGGCUUUGAUCUUUUAUUACAAGGAGAAGAACACACUCACUGAUUGGUCAUACCUAACACUAACAGAUACUCAAUAGUGGUGAACUGGAAUUUUUACAAGCGCCAUGGAAACAUCUUCGGAUCGGGUUCUUAGGGAACAAAUUCGUUACUCUCACAUUUGCGUCAAGAGACUUCGAGACUGUCAGCUGCUGACGAAUCCGGUCACCCCAACUGGAACAAACAGUCCGUCCUCUUCGGCUGACCACCCAUAUUCAAGUCAUCCGCGUCAAUCUGAUGGCUCUCAAUAAUAAUAUUGAAGCAGGAGCGACAUCCUGGAGCUGCAACAGCAGUCUAAUCCUUACAAGAUUCAGCUGUUGCAUGUAGUCGGUGAUGCUGUUGUUAUCCUGGAGAAUGUUGGUGUUCUGACAAAUAUCUUUCUGCGUGUUUGUGUAAAAAAAAAGCUAUAGUUACAGCUUUUUAACGUUUCCUUUUUCUAAAGAUAGAUGUAGAUGGCUUUAUCAUACCCUUUUCGUCUGUCAAAUUAGUCGUGUGUCCACCAGUUGGUGCAGACGCGCGAGUGUCGAUUUGUGAGUGACGCAUUGUUUUCCGAGGCAUUGAACCAGCUGAGCAGGACGUCGAAUUGAAUUGUUCAUGAAUGCUCACUCUUCAAUAUUUUAAUGAAAAUUAAAAAGUUAACUUAGACCGCUUGACUGCUGUCCUGCCGAAAUGUCCUGCAAUGCUACGUGUACCGGCUGCACGUCUCAUCCUAUUCUGAAAUACUUGACAGAAGAGAUAGUAGAUCCCUUUGCUUGGACUUAAAUUGAAUUUCCAGAUCCCUUUGUAAAAUUAUACAUGUCAGGCUCGCGUUUUGCGACAUUGCCCGGCCUGAAUGACUGGGCCUGAAUUUCGUCCACCCAGUCUGAUUACUCAUUUUAACAUUUUUCUAUUGACAAAGUACUUGAAUUGAGAAUUGGCUUCCCUGUGACUCUUUGUAUUAUCUAUCGAAAGGUAGCCAAAAGAAUGGGAAUUUACUGCGAGCCUGUUUUACCCCCCAAAAUUCUCUUGCAUCGUUUUUAUCUCAAGUGGAACACAAACCCAAAUCUUGCAGGGGACACUGACUGUAAUCAAUUGAUUGACCCGGCAAAUGGCGGUUCUUUGCAUUAUUUCCAUCCGAUUACGUCUCCAGUCGUUCAACUGAAGAAUUUUUGCAGCAGAUGGUGGAAUAUAUGCGUAGAAUCUGAUUACAAAGUAUGAGAUCUGGAAGAAGAAAAGGUCGAGACAGAACCCACUUCCAUAGAAGAAGAAACGAAGUGAGCUCUUCUCGGUUGGCCUGUGCCGUUUCCCCUGACCAAACUUCUUUGAUUCUUCUCUAUGCGCACCUCUGCUCGGAUCUUGACGUCCAGCUAGAAGAUGCCGUUCGACUCCUUCAGCAAUUGAUGCGCAGGUUGAAACGCUGCACGAUCAUCGACUAAUGGAAAAAUGCAUUCAGAAAUUAGACCAGAAAAAGUCGCUAGUCACAAAAAAAUUUGCUCAUCAGAAGGUUAUCCACCUUCGAUCAUCAUCCGUUAAAUUAAAAUACGCGGUGGGACUUGUUAUGAUAUACCAACAAAGCGCUUGUAAGCCACCGUUACUGUGUGUAAUAGACUCCUGGACACACUAUAAUCCACAGAGAAUAUUUUGUAACGUCCUUUUCGACGAUGGGGAAUUCUUCCUUCGUUGCUGAAGAUAAUUUUAAACUCUUCACUGAUGUGUCGUUCGUCAGCAGCCAUUCGAAUAUCGGGCUUUCUUUAGCCGCCGAUACUCCAAUGCUGAGAUGAUGACCCUCUUCCCAGAGGAUGAAGCCUUUGCUCUUUCCCUGGUCGGAUAAAAUUAUAUGUAUUAUCGUAUUAUGUAAUUGCCUGCCUUUUACGUACAUUAGCUGCUAAAUAGUUUGAUCAAAUUUUACGAGAAAUCAAAAAAUUAUUUAGGCUA
rnacentral:lncRNA from 1 species